ensembl:lncRNA
CCUCACAGCACCAGACUGUUGUCUGUGAAGCCUAGUAACCUCCCAGCACCAGACUGUUGUCUGUGAAGCCUAGUAACCUCCCAGCCCCAGACUGUUGUCUGUGAAGCCUAGUAACCUCAGAGCACCAGACUGUUGUCUGUGAAGCCUAGUAACCUCACAGCACCAGACUGUUGUCUGUGAAGCCUAGUAACCUCCCAGCACCAGACUGUUGUCUGUGAAGCCUAGUAACCUCACAGCACCAGACUGUUGUCUGUGAAGCCUAGUAACCUCCCAGCACCAGACUACCCACAGACAGAACUGGGCAUCAUAGCAUCAGAAGAGGAAGACCUGACAUUUUCAGCCACUAACACAGAAGGACCAUUGUUACACUUUCCUUUUUUUAAUCCAUGUUAGUUGUUGUGGCAGAGAAUCACUCAGGACCACAAAGGUUCUGAGCUGCCCCUCCCUGUGCCUGAGUAGAAAGGGCCCCCUGUCUGUCUCAGCUGUAAUACCAGUCCAGGGGAGGGUACUAGGUAGAAAGGGCCCCCUGUCUGUCUCGGCUGUAAUACCAGUCCAGGGGAGGGUACUAGGUAGAAAGGGCCCCCUGUCUGUCUCAGCUGUAAUACCAGUCCAGGGGAGGGUACUAGGUAGAAAGGGCCCCCUGUCUGUCUCGGCUGUAAUACCAGUCCAGGGGAGGGUACUAGGUAGAAAGGGCCCCCUGUCUGUCUCGGCUGUAAUACCAGUCCAGGGGAGGGCACUAGGUAGAAAGGGCCCCCUGUCUGUCUCGGCUGUAAUACCAGUCCAGGGGAGGGUACUAGGUAGAAAGGGUCCCCUGUCUGUCUCAGCUGUAAUGCCAGUCCAGGGGAGGGUACUAGGUAGAAAGGGCCCCCUGUCUGUCUCGGCUGUAAUACCAGUCCAGGGGAGGGCACUAGGUAGAAAGGGCCCCCUGUCUGUCUCAGCUGUAAUGCCAGUCCAGGGGAGGGUACUAGGUAGAAAGGGCCCCCUGUCUGUCUCAGCUGUAAUACCAGUCCAGGGGAGGGUACUAGGUAGAAAGGGUCCCCUGUCUGUCUCGGCUGUAAUACCAGUCCAGGGGAGGGUACUAGGUAGAAAGGGCCCCUGUCUGUCCCAGCUGUAACACCAGUCCAGGGGAGGGUACUAGGUAGAAAGGGCCCCUGUCUGUCUCAGCUGUAAUACCAGUCCAGGGGAGGGCACUAGGUAGAAAGGGCCCCCUGUCUGUCUCAGCUGUAAUACCAGUCCAGGGGAGGGCACUAGGUAGAAAGGGCCCCCUGUCUGUCUCAGUUAUAAUACCAGUCCAGGGGAGGGUACUAGGUAGAAAGGGCCCCCUGUCUGUCUCAGUUAUAAUACCAGUCCAGGGGAGGGUACUAGGUAGUUACAGACAGACAAGUUGUAAGUUGUGUAGUCCAGGACAGGUCAGUUACAGACAGACAGGUUGUGUAGUCUAGGACAGGUCAGUUCCACUAGGAGAUAGAUGGUUAUAGACAGACAGGUUGUGUAGUCUAGGACAGGUCAGUUACACUAGGAGAUAGAUGGUUACAGACAGACAGGCUGUGUAGUCUAGGACAGGUCAGUUCCACUAGGAGAUAGGUGGUUACAGACAGACAGGUUGUGUAGUCUAGGACAGGUCAUUUACAGACAGACAGGUCAGUUCCACUAGGAGAUAGAUGGUUACAGACAGACAGGUCAGUUCCACUAGGAGAUAGAUGGUUACAGACAGACAGGUCAGUUCCACUAGGAGAUAGAUGGUGACAGACAGACAGGUCAGUUCCACUAGGAGAUAGAUGGUGACAGACAGGUCAGUUCCACUAGGAGAUAGAUGGUUACAGACAGACAGGUCAGUUCCACUAGGAGAUAGAUGGUGACAGACAGACAGGUCAGUUCCACUAGGAGAUAGAUGGUGACAGACAGACAGGUCAGUUCCACUAGGAGAUAGAUGGUGACAGACAGACAGGUCAAUUCCACUAGGAGAUAGAUGGUUACAGACAGACAGGUCAGUUCCACUAGGAGAUAGAUGGUGACAGACAGACAGGUCAGUUCCACUAGGAGAUAGAUGGUUACAGACAGACAGGUCAGUUCCACUAGGAGAUAGAUGGUUACAGACAGACAGUGUAGUAGCAAUAUAAAGAUGAUUAUAAAAUGUGAGAUUAAAGACCUGACGUUCAUACUAAUAUUCAGCCAGUUAACCACAGUCCUGGAGUCAGAUGUUAACUCCUGUCUCUAAAUAGUGGAGGUUAGGGCCCCGUUAACCACAGUCCUGGAGUCAGAGGUUAACUAAAGGACUCCAGCCGGGGGGCCCUAAAG